GUGGGGAAUUUUGGACAAUGGGCGAAAGCCUGAUCCAGCCAUGCCGCGUGCAGGAUGAAGGCCUUCGGGUUGUAAACUGCUUUUGUACGGAACGAAAAGACUCCUUCUAAUAAAGGGGGUCCAUGACGGUACCGUAAGAAUAAGCACCGGCUAACUACGUGCCAGCAGCCGCGGUAAUACGUAGGGUGCAAGCGUUAAUCGGAAUUACUGGGCGUAAAGCGUGCGCAGGCGGUUAUGUAAGACAGAUGUGAAAUCCCCGGGCUCAACCUGGGAACUGCAUUUGUGACUGCAUAGCUAGAGUACGGUAGAGGGGGAUGGAAUUCCGCGUGUAGCAGUGAAAUGCGUAGAUAUGCGGAGGAACACCGAUGGCGAAGGCAAUCCCCUGGACCUGUACUGACGCUCAUGCACGAAAGCGUGGGGAGCAAACAGGAUUAGAUACCCCAGUAGUCC
rnacentral:rRNA from 1 species